UAUGCUCGCGACUCCGUGACUUCGGCUGCGGAGUCUCGUUACCGCUUGCCAAGACAAGAACUCAACGCGAUGCGCGGCGCUACGGGUUGAAGAGAAAGAAUCAUGGUGCGUGCACACACGCACACACGCAAUACUUUUUAUAUGUGUUUCUCUUUUACGUGUAUUCAUGCGUGUGCGCAUAAAACGAGAGAGAGAGAGAGAGAGAGUCGAAUAUCGACAAAGCUUCACGUGGGAUUCACUGGUUAAGCUGGGAAUUCUCAAAGGAAACAAUGAUGGUGGCGGGAAGGGUAUCAAUCGUGGGAAGAUAUAGACGUUGAAUAGUGGUACCCUACGUUAUUGAUGAGAUCGAAGGAAAAGUAUUAUUUUGACUGUUUUUGACUUAUCGUUACUUCAAAACUGAGAGGAAGAGGGGAGUAACUAUUAAGAUACAUAGAGAAAUGUGAUUGUUCCUCAUUAUCUACGGGUAUUCUGGAGGGUAUGUGUUUUUGUUUGCGUAUCGAAUGUAUAAUGUAGUAUAAGAAAAUGGGAAAGCUCUUCGUAAACAGCGAACUUGUGGAAAGUAAUGGUUAUGAGGCUCACAUCGGCGACGAAACUGACGCGAGAAUUCCAUGGAAAAUUACAGGGAAUAAAAUUGAACGAGACGGCAGCGAGACUCGUGCACUUGCACGAGCAUGCAUACCUGAGCAACCGGAUCUCAUUGACUCCUUGACCUUCGAGUUUAAGAAGCGAAGUUCCCUUGACCUCAGAAUAAAUAAACUGACGAAACUACUCCCCUCACUGUUGGUUAACACUAUGGAAAGGGAACCGUGUCAUGACUUUUCGCUCAGUCUUUCAAAGGUACGUAGAAUAUUUCCAAGCGACAAUCUCUCUCUUCUUUUCUUUCUCCAUAUUUUAUCUUAUAUCACGAAAUGUUUCAACUACGCGUACGGUCUCUUCAUUAGCGUAGAAAAUAUUGAUUUCGGCCGUAACUUUAGUGGCAUAAUUAAACGGAGUUUGUUGUAAAUUAUUUCGAAUUUUCUAAGAUAAUAAUUAUAUGUAUUUACAAAUAUAUGUGCGUGUUAAAUAAUUCAAUAUUGAUUUGGAUGAAAAAAUUCUAAUUGAUAGGAUCGAAAAUGAUCGUUUAACGAAAAAGAUAUAUACGUCGAAAGGUACACAAACAGCGAAAUGUUUAUUUAAAUUUCAAGAAAGAUUAACGAGCUAAUAUAAAGGCUAGUUAAUCUUUUAAAUAUACGAUGCGGGUUACCGAUUAACAACUGCCAGAUUUCAUUGACUUAUAUUUGAUAUAAUAAACCGAACGUAAUUCGAGACAGAGAUGAGUUUUUAUUUCCAAAGAAAGUAUCGAAAUCUUGCGAAAUUGCUAUAAUUGCCGUUUUUAUUUAUUUAUUUAUUAUAUCCUAUGGAAGGUAUAUUGUAGAUAAAAUAGUAUGCUAUUGUGCAUAGAUCAGGAUUAUGUAAAACCGUCCAUUUGUUUCGUGUAGAUUUUUUUGACAGCAUAUGAAAUAUUUAAAGGAUGGAAGGAUCGAACGAAAAGGCGUAGCUGUUUUUUUUUAAUCUUACAAGUGAAACGUGGCCAAUGACGAUUUGAAAAGAGUUGCAGAGGAGACGUUUGGAGGAAUCGUUUGUCGGUCGAAACUCGACGUAGGAAAGCGUGACUGUGCUGCGGACGCAUUCGUCAACAGCUGACUUUGCCGCUAUUAUCUCAUGUAUUAUGAAUGAUUCAUGAGAAACCUCCGCGUCGCCUACGUGGCCUGUUUUUAUAAAAUUCACAAGAUUUUUCUUUUACGACGUUGUUGUUUUCACAAAAGAUGUUUGAAGUCGAUAUCGAAGUUAGCCCAAGAAUUUUACGUCUCGUAAGAUAAACUCAUAUUCUCAACUGAAGAAAAGUAUUUUAGUAAGUGGUUUUAAAAAUAAGUGCAAUUGUAUAUUAUCGGUUAUGAAACAGUUUAUUAUAAUAAUGCACUCAUAGGAUUAUAUUUACUGAUAAUGUUUAUCUUUACUGAAGUGCAAUGUAAUUUAUAGAUAAACGGUAGAUACAUGAUAGAUUUACCUAGGAACGCAUAAUUCCAUUUCAUUUUGAUCGAAUUUCUUCAAAGUUUCUAUUUUCAUUAAAAUCCGAGACACAUCUUGUUACUCUAGUUUGUACUUUAUACAAUUUAUAUGAAUCAUCGAAGGAAGUGACUCGGCCAAAUCAGCCAUCACAUCCAGGUGUUACGGUCAGCUGUACUUGGUUGGGCACUUGAACGAAUUCUUUCUAUAUCCACGAACAAGGGAUAAGUUUAUCGACGUAAGCUUAUCGUGAGAGAUAAGGAAACCUUAAUUCCGUGAGUGCAUUCUUAGUACAUAUAUAAGAACUGAAAUUCCAUGAAGUCUCCUAUUUCAUAUAAUCGUACUCAAUCGUUCUUAAGCUUUCCUUUUGAUAAGAUCUUUUCUAUUUUUUUUCCAAACAUUCUUACGUUCCGAGCUUAUCAAUUGUAUUCAUCCGAUUUAUCAAUCUCUCGAUCAACAUUUGUUCAUAUAUUAGCAAUAAGAAUUUGCAACAAUGUAAACGAAAUUUCUUAAAACGAAUGAAAUUCUGAAAUUAAUUUAAUUAAUCUCGUUCGUAUUUUAUACCGAUGCUCGAGCUUCUAGUAUAAAAUGACUAUUUUUAAGGAGAUUUAAUUGUUCGUAGAAUAAGACAGGACAAAUAAGUACGUAUGUACUUGAUAAAAAUACACGUGUUUUAUUUAUCGAGAUAUCUUUUCUCGAUUAAAGUUCUGGCAGGUGUGCGUUUAAUCGCGUACGAGUACGAGCGGCCAAGGAUCACCAGAUUGUAUUUUUGAUUUUUGUCCUUGUCACUAUUGUUAUCGAUGUUUACAAUCAAAGCCUACAAAUGUGAGUUCAUUCUCUUAUUAAUGUGAUUAGAAUCGGCGAUCACGUGAAUAUAUUUGCGAUGGAUAUUCACGAAUUGUUUUUAAAGCGUUAAAAGAAGGUAGAUAUCAUAAGAUUUGCCAAGAAAUGUUUAGAUACGUCAUUGUUACUACAGAUGCUGCGCCAUAUCGGAAAAUAAUAAAACGUCUCACGUAGUAAAAUUUUAAAAUUAAUCUGAAGAUAAAGAAGAUAAGAAUGUAGCGAUAUAAUAAAACGUACGAUAACGUUGUGUA